CACACAUGUGCGGGCUUUCUUAUAUCCAGCGUGUUGCUAUCAUUCAGGUGUAUAAUCACACACACACACACACACACACACACACCAAGAAAGAACAGGCAGCCGUCCAGGAUUUCCGCAGCACAGUGCAGCACCAAGCGGGGCAUGCUCAGCCCUGGGGGAAGGAGCCAAGAGACCUGCUUUUGUUGGCUGGGGACUGCUGGCACGUGAAGCCUGGGGUCCCACUCUCUCUUCCCCCCAAAACACAGGCUGUCUGCACUGGUUAUAAGUGUGAGGAGAGGAAACUGGGGAAAUAGCACUUUGUGUAAAAAUGACCACAACUCCGGGUGGGAGGAAGGAGUGGGCAGAAGGAAGGAGGGCUUUUCAGAAAUGCGUUUUCUUAAGCAACCAGAAUAAAAAACGCCACCAACACUGUUCUCCAAAGCUCCCCAACCACUUCGGCAUCUCUUGAAUCCAGAGAAGAAAAGGCUGCUCCAGACCUGGUGAGCAUUCUGAGGCAGGACCCAGCAGCCUGGUCAACCCUUCGCUCGUCAGCUUCCUGCGAAGAGCACCGGCUGACCCCUGGCUCGCCCCCUGCAUGGCCAUCCAUCAUGUGACAGACAGCCAGGGAUGAGGAAAGUGCUGAAAGAUACCCCCCAGGAAGGUGUGGCAAGAGCAAGCUCUGGAGCUCCGAGGCUGGCGUGGCCUCCGUUAUCUGAUCAGUAGAGGACAUUGGUAAGUACCCCAGAGCAUAGCUGUCCUAAAAUAUCACAUCUCUCUUUGCUUGAUCAACUCAUUACAUGGGCUGAUUAGCAGUGCACAAGGUAAUUUUCAUAAGAGGGUGAACUUACGGUAACUCUAAGGCUUACUGAUUGGGCAGAAGUUUGUGAGUGACAGGCUGGGGAGAAACGGCUUAGGAGUGAAGGUCUGAGGACCUUUAACACGGGGCUUUAGAUCACAGUCCCAUUUCCUUGUCCUUCCUCGGGUCUCCACCAAUCUUCUCUAUUUCUUCUGUCCCCACUUGGGUCAAGCCUCUUCGGGAAUUGGUUGGUGGUUCUCGGUCCCUCCUGGCUAUGUGGCUUUGGUCCCGGACUCCGUGUCAGUGACGAUCAGGUUUCCUCGGACCUGAUUCCAACUGGACUUUAUUGUGCUAGCUGUUGUUAGUGCAAGCCGACACCUCGUGUUAAAUACACACAAUUUGUUCCUGGUUCACUUCACACAUGCUUUACUAAGGGAACUGGUGAGUGGCGAUUCCCAUCCAGGAAAGGCCUACGGUGAUGACGGCUUCUCACUGUCGACACGUGAGCUGGUGAUGAGAAGACUAGGCCCGCGUGGAGGUAGCCUGUCCAGCCCCUGUAAUCAGAGCGCCUCCACCUUCCUUUAAGUCCCAACCUGUCAUCCGCCUGGCAGUGUGUAGCCGGCUGGCUGGUGUUAACCCACUUCUCCUGUCUCUGUCUCAUUGUGCGAUUCUGCAUCAGCUCCUGGGUAACCUGCCAGGCCAGAAAUGAGGUGUCUGUGAGCACGCAUCCUCUCUGCACCCGAUGGCCAAGCACAUGUGACGCGGUGGCUUUGUGACCUUGGACUGGUCACACAACAGCAUCCUGGGAACUGAGUGAUGAUUGCAGACAUCAAAGUUGUGAUAUCAAUGUCCAAAGAAGUCUCUGGGUGAGUCCCUAGAGUCCUCCCUCGGGGCAGUGCAGGCCUUGAGGUUCAAGCAGAACAGCAUGGAGAUGAGAUGGUGUAGGAGAGUCUGACCCCUUGUAGACGUCGACAGUUUCCAAGCCCACCACUCUGCCUUCUGCUUUUGCCCAACAUCCAGAGAACUGGUGAGAAGGCCAGGUGCUCCCUCCAUUGGAACUGAAGGCACGUUGGGCCCCAGCAGGCCCUGCCCAGGUGCGGGAGCCCUCUCUCUGCCUCAUCUCCAUCUGCAGUGAAUGCCAGGCAGCCACUUGACCCUAUCAUCAAGCUAUUUUCAAACUGUCUCCGAGUCUGCCCUGCCCUCUCUCGAAACCCUCUCCGCGUGAGUAAUGGCUUCCUACUCCUGGUGGACACAUGUGGUGCAUCAGCCACAACAGGUGAACCCAGCUUUGGCUGAGGGCUUGUCCUGCCUCUGUGGUUCUGUCUUGGACAUGACCCGUUUGUCCAUCAUCCUUUCCCUUCUUCCUGCCAGUGAUGGACUGACCAGCCUCUUCACAAGGAGCAAGAGCUGGUGCUACCGGUGACCGAGCAGAAAGUCAAGAGGAGCCUGGGGCCUGAUGUCCUGGCUGAAGAAUGGAUUACUGCUAUUACAGUCAGCUGGUGUCCUAGAGAUCAAGGGACCCCCGUUAGGAAAACAGUUGAGAUGUAAUCCUUCCUCUGCACAAGUUGGGACCUCAUCUAAGUCCCCAUUAUUACCAUCAUCCCUGCCAUCAGGAUUUUAAUUUGUAUUGAAGAAGCUCAACAAAAACUCCAUCAAUUUGAAGAUGCAAAUGUUGAUUGGCAAGGAAAGCCAGAGGGCACGUGCCUCACGCCACCGCGGUCCAGCACACAGGUGGGAAAAAAAAGGGACAGGUGGGGAAAAUGAGGCACAGAGAACCCAGGAGGAACCCAAAGCAGAAUCGCAAAUCCUGGAAUGCGGCAGAAAGAUGGGCAGAUGGGACUCCACGGUGUUGGGUCAGACAGUGGUGAAGGAAAUGGACCACCUUCUUUCACAAAGGUCUGCAGCAAUGGGACAAGGGAAAGCAAAGAGAACACAGGCCCACGUCAAGGAGAAGUGCCCGGGUUUACCCAGCCUGAGCCGCAGACUCCGUCCUGGGCCUGGGCAGCGCUCACCGUGAUGCCCUCCCUCCAUAUCAAGACAGUGGGAUCCACAGGGAAAGUCCUUCCACAGCCCUGACUGAGCUCCCAGGCUGCAGGCAUGUCCAGCAGAGCCCUGGGGACGCUGUCUGAAGGUCAGGUGGGGGCAGCGGCUCGGGGUCUGCAGCCUGCCUCUCCAGGGCCAGCAGUUUCCAGCUCAGUGUCCCUCUGCUUCCUGGCCUUGCGCCAGGCUUAGUUUUCUCUGUCAACCCAUCCCACUCUGAGGCCUGAUGUCGAAGUCGUCCCACCCUGAGCCAAAUCCUUCCCAUCACCCCUCUUUCCUUUUCUGAUGACGGUCCAACAUGGGAGCAUUCCAACCGGCGGUUCUGACCUGUCCCUCCGUGGCUGGGUGUCCAGUGGGAUCUCAGGUGAGCAGCUCCAUUUGUCCAAGUCAAGGCAUCGAGACUGGGUUUGAAAGAUUGCUCUUCUCCACGACUUCCUUGCCUCACAGGGGACUUGUGCCAUCCUUGGGACGGCACCAGCUGUUUUAACAUGGCCCACAACAUUGGGAGACAUGAAGGUGGGGCUCUCACUCUCUCAAAGUGGGGGCUGCUGGCUCAGGGGCCAGGAGUUCCUCUUAAGAAAAGGAAAAAUCCAGGUAAUUCCGUGCAGUGGCAAAGCAGACUGGGAAUGAGUUUUGUUGUUUGUUUGUUUGGGGAGGGAACACUAGUUUUAUUCAGUGAAAUGGUGCUUUACCAUCAAGGAAAGACUACCUGGUGGAAUGUUCCAGAACAGGCAGACUUUUGACCCCCUCUGCUGCUUAUGACCUCUUGUUCUCUGCUGUCAAGAAAACCACUUUUUUUUUUUCUUUUGAGGAAAUUGAACAAAAUUAAAUGGAACUGUGUGGGCAGACAACACCUCAGUGUGUUAUUGGGGACAGAUUAGGAUCUAUAGGCUUCCUGGACGACCUUGGAUUUCACACAGCUCAGACACUUCAACACAACCCUGCUUUAAGUGACGAAUGGCUUCCUGCAUGCAGGCCCUGCCCUGGACACUGGUUAGAGCCACACCAUCUGCUGGGCACUGGUAGAACCACAUUGGCUACUGCAAAACAUAAGACUGUUUUCCUGUGGUCCUCUCACAAGAAAAGUGAGGCCUCAGUAUUGGUGGGCAAAUUGAGAAAACAAAACACAUAUAACUUGUCAUUUAGAAAAUGGAGAAGGCCACCUGAUGUGUUACACUGAGUUUUCAGAAGAGAACAUAUUACACGUGUUAGCCCUCCAGCUCACCUUUAUGCUGAAUUUAAGAGAGUAUCCUUUGGGAUAUCAUAACAGCCUGGGUCAGAUGAUAAACAUCGACCUUCAAAUGUCAGGGCAGUGGCCAGAACUUUGGCAGCUUGAUUACCUGAAAAAGCUUCACACUGCAAAUAUUUAGAAAAGCUGCAUAGUAUUUUUUUUUUCCAAAAAUGCAUUGGUGAUUCUUUAUGGAAAUAUCAGAAACAUGUAACCCAAUGCGGAGGCAGGUAGGGGUGAAGUGGAUUUUGGUUUAAAAAAUAUGAAAGUCUAAUUUUCAUGGCCCAUAAGAGAUAAGAAUUGAGAUCUUGGAGCUACAUAAAUAAGAGUGGGAACUGAGGGUCUCUGAUUGGGGUAUGACUCUGUGAAGAUAGGAUCAGGAAAUUACCUGGGCAGCAGAACAGGAUUAUAAGGAAGUCAGUCUCUUUGUGCCUGAAUUCAGGUAUGAAGAGAGAAAUCUCCCCCAAAUUCAUAAUACAGCCCUUUCCUAAGCACAGGAUCCUGGCUCAAAUUCUCACUUCCCACUCUGCCCUGGAAUUCCUUGGAUAAGAAAUGAGUAUACUAAUUGUUCCAUACCUGUGUGUCCCUUUGGAAUUUGAGAAAAGCAGAGAUAAAAUCUCUUUUGAGAAACACUCUCAUAACAGAGCACAUGGGAAAAAAAGUAAAUCUCAAUAUUAAAAAUUAAAAUAUAUGAGGAUGAAAUAUCCUGCACUCAAAGGUCAGCAGGCACAACAUGCGUAGCAGUGUUAAAACCAGAGUAACCCGGGAUAAAUAAAUAACAGUCUGAAAGAGAAUAUAAAGUAAGUGUGUUUAAAAUGAUUCCAGUUAUAGGCUAAAAAAUAGAUACUAGUAAAAAGGAAUAAAAUAAACAGAUUGUAAAAGAAUAAGCUAAAUCUUUGAGAAAUAAAAUGUAAUCAUUGAAAUUAAAAAUCUCAAUUGGCAGAUAAGCAAAGAAGUGAUAUGGUUGGAGAGAAGAUUAGUGAUCUGGAAGAUACAUAUAAGGAAGAAUACUUAGAACAUAGAGAAAAAAAUGUAAUAUAUGAUAUACAACUUCCAUGUGUUUUUAUAGAGUAUUAUAGAAAGGAAAUAGAAAAAAAUAGGGAAGAGUAAACAUUCAAAUAAACGAUUGCUGAGAAUUCUCCAGUACUCUUCAAGGACAGAUCCAAGAAAUAUACUGAGUCCUAAACAGGAAAACCACACGUGGGCACAUUGAAGUGAAUCUACAGAAUGCUAAACCAAAGAUAAAAUAGUAAAAAGCACCAGAGAGAAAAGCAGAACAACUACAAAGGAACAGCAAAUUAUGUAGUACAGAUUUCUUAAAAAAUAAUAAUCAGGAAAUGGUGAAAUAAUGUAGUUAAAAUACGCAGAGGAAAAAAUAUUGCAAAAUUUUAUAUGCAAAUAAGCUGCUAUUCACAGGCAAGAAUGAAAUAAUAUUUUUGUUCACACAAAACCUUAAUAAGAACCACAAACUUUUAAAUAUGGACUUUAAUUUUAAAAAUUAAACAUAAAGAGAAUAAAAAUAUGACAAGAGACUAUGGUAAAUAAAUAAUUGGUAAACAUAUAGGUACAUCUAACAAGUAUUGACAAGGUAAAAUAACUAUAGGUGACUUAGGGACUAUUUUAAUUUGCAAAUAAAUAUAAAAUAUACCAAUGAGGUCCAACUGAACUCUUAGAUAACUAUUGUAUUGAAAGUGGGAGGGAACAAUUGGACGUAAAGGAAACUCAAAUAUUUCUAUAGUUGGUAAAAAUGGCUAAGAAAUUCAUUAAUAUUAGAAUCAAGUAUGUCUGCUAAAGUGUCACCAAAGAACAGAAGGACAAUCUGUAACUUACAAAAAAGUGGAAAGGAAAGGAGGGUGUGGACAGGGAUAAAUAAAAUCUUAAUUUGUGGAAGAAAACAGGAGAGGAGAAGAAAUAAGUGUCCUGUUUUGAUUUUUUCAUAGAAAACAGCAUUUUUGUUACAUGCACAUAAAUGAGUGAGAAGUUUUGUGUCACCAUCUGCUGACAUACCCAGGAGUUUAAAAAUUAAUGCAGUGAACACAGCAGCUGGCAGCACCUCCUUCUACGGCUUUUCCAGGCCCUUUGAGCGUCCCUUGCUUCCCUUCUACACUCUCUCGGUAACAUUAUUAGCAGGUUUGCUAAAAGCAAACCCAUGAACCCUCGCAUGGUAAUGCCGGUGUUCACCAGGCCGCACGUUCUUGGCUGCCCCGUGGAAGUCAGGAACACAGUCGGCUCCGAGUCUGUGACAGGGAAUCCCCUAGCACCAGGGUCUGGAUGAGGCCUCGCCAGGCUGACUGUGCUCAUAGACACUACUGCCUCCUACUGGUUACCGAGCGGCCAUACAAGUCAGUUUCCCCGCUGUGGAGGUGAAUGGCAAUGACACUCUCCCUAGAGGAUGGUUGUGAGGAAGUCACCAGCGCAGCUGGUGUUGUCGUUCAUUACUUAUCAGUCACACCCCCGAGCUCCAUAGAUGUAUUGCAAUAAAAAUAAAUAAUAACAACAAUUAAUAAAAUAACAAUGGUAGCAAUGAUUACUGUUAUAUUUUUAUGAUUAUUACAUGGUGUAUGUUAUGCUAAACUAUUCCCACAUGCAUGUUGGUUUGGAUGCUGAAGGUCCCCUAGAGUUAGAUGAGUUGAAGACUUGGUCCCAGGUGGCACAACUGGGAGGUGCUGUGGACUCUUGGGUGCUGGAGAGUAAUGGAAAAUCCUAAGGCCCAUUUCAAAGGGAAUUGUAGGAUCCUGGAUCCUUCCUGCCUCUGUUUGCUCUUGCCAUGAUGUGCUGCCUCAUCACAGGCCCAAAGUGAUGGAGCUCUCUGUGAGCAUCUAAAACUAUGGACCCAAAUAAACCUUUUCUCUUUUUAA